rnacentral:rRNA from 1 species
AUUGAACGCUGGCGGCAGGCUUAACACAUGCAAGUCGAACGAGGGGCGGCCGGGUGAGUAAUGCAUGGGAAUCUAGCUUAUGGAGGGGGAUAAAUACGGGCAACUGUAGCUAAUACCGCGUACCAUAGGAUGAGCCCAAGUGGGAUUAGGUAGUUGGUGAGGUAAAGGCUCACAAACCCGACGACCUCUAGCUGGUCUGAGCGGAUGACCAGCCACACUGGGACUGAGACACGGCUCAGACGCCUCCGGGAGGCAGCAGUGGGGAAUAUUGCGAAAUGGGUGCAACCCUGACGCAGCCAUGCCGCGUGAAUGAAGAAGGCCUUCGGGUUGUAAAGCACUUUCAGCGGGGAGGCGUUACCCGCAGAAGAAGCACCGGCUGACUCCGUGCCAGCGGCGGCGGUAAUAC